rnacentral:rRNA from 1 species
AUUGAACGCUGGCGGCAUGCCUUACACAUGCAAGUCGAACGGCAGCACGGGAGCAAUCCUGGUGGCGAGUGGCGAACGGGUGAGUAAUAUAUCGGAACGUGCCCAGUCGUGGGGGAUAACGCAGCGAAAGCUGUGCUAAUACCGCAUACGAUCUACGGAUGAAAGCGGGGGAUCGCAAGACCUCGCGCGAUUGGAGCGGCCGAUAUCAGAUUAGCUAGUUGGUGGGGUAAAGGCCCACCAAGGCGACGAUCUGUAGCUGGUCUGAGAGGACGACCAGCCACACUGGAACUGAGACACGGUCCGGACUCCUACGGGAGGCAGCAGUGGGGAAUUUUGGACAAUGGGCGCAAGCCUGAUUCAGCAAUGCCGCGUGCAGGAUGAAGGCCUUCGGGUUGUAAACUGCUUUUGUACGGAACGAAACGGCCCUUUCUAAUACAGGGGGCUAAUGACGGUACCGUAAGAAUAAGCACCGGCUAACUACGUGCCAGCAGCCGCCGUAA